rnacentral:tRNA from 5 species
GGGCCGUUAGCUCAACAGGCAGAGCGGCUGAUUCUUAAUCAGUAGGCUGCGGGUUCGAUUCCUGCACGGCCCACCA